CUGCCCGUCACGCCAUGGGAGUUGAUUUUACCUGAAGCAGGUGAGCUAACCGCAAGGAAGCANCCUACCACGGUAAUGUCGAUGACUGGGGUG
rnacentral:rRNA from 1 species